rnacentral:rRNA from 1 species
AUGAACGCCGGCGGCGUGCCUAAUACAUGCAAGUCGAGCGAACAGACGAGGAGCUUGCUCCUCUGACGUUAGCGGCGGACGGGUGAGUAACACGUGGAUAACCUACCUAUAAGACUGGGAUAACUUCGGGAAACCGGAGCUAAUACCGGAUAAUAUAUUGAACCGCAUGGUUCAAUAGUGAAAGACGGUUUUGCUGUCACUUAUAGAUGGAUCCGCGCCGCAUUAGCUAGUUGGUAAGGUAACGGCUUACCAAGGCAACGAUGCGUAGCCGACCUGAGAGGGUGAUCGGCCACACUGGAACUGAGACACGGUCCAGACUCCUACGGGAGGCAGCAGUAGGGAAUCUUCCGCAAUGGGCGAAAGCCUGACGGAGCAACGCCGCGUGAAUGAUGAAGGUCUUCGGAUCGUAAAACUCUGUUAUUAGGGAAGAACAAAUGUGUAAGUAACUAUGCACGUCUUGACGGUACCUAAUCAGAAAGCCACGGCUAACUACGUG